ACAUUGGUGGUUCAGUGGAAGAAUUCUUGCCUCCCACGUGGGAGCCCUGGGUUCUAUUCCCAACCAAUGCA
rnacentral:tRNA from 1 species